AACGAACGCUGGCGGCAUGCCUAACACAUGCAAGUCGAACGAGACCGUCGGGUCUAGUGGCGGACGGGUGGUUAACGCGUGGGAACCUGCCCUUAGGUUCGGAAUAACUCACCGAAAGGGGUGCUAAUACCGGAGAAUGUCAUCGGACAAAAGAUUUAUCGCCUGUGGAUGGGCCCGCGUUGGAUUAGCUGGUUGGUAGGGUAAAAGCCUACCAAGGCGACGAUCCAUAGCUGGUCUGAGAGGAUGAUCAGCCACACUGGGACUGAGACACGGCCCAGACUCCUACGGGAGGCAGCAGUGGGGAAUAUUGGACAAUGGGCGAAAGCCUGAUCCAGCAAUGCCGCGUGAGUGAUGAAGGCCUUAGGGUUGUAAAGCUCUUUUACCCGGGAUGAUAAUGACAGUACCGGGAGAAUAAGCUCCGGCUAACUCCGUG
rnacentral:rRNA from 1 species